rnacentral:rRNA from 1 species
AACGAACGCUGGCGGCAGGCUUAACACAUGCAAGUCGAGCGCCCCGCAAGGGGAGCGGCAGACGGGUGAGUAACGCGUGGGAACGUACCCUUUACUACGGAAUAGCUCCGGGAAACUGGAAUUAAUACCGUAUGUGCCCUUCGGGGGAAAGAUUUAUCGGUAAAGGAUCGGCCCGCGUUGGAUUAGCUAGUUGGUGGGGUAAAGGCCUACCAAGGCGACGAUCCAUAGCUGGUCUGAGAGGAUGAUCAGCCACAUUGGGACUGAGACACGGCCCAAACUCCUACGGGAGGCAGCAGUGGGGAAUAUUGGACAAUGGGCGCAAGCCUGAUCCAGCCAUGCCGCGUGAGUGAUGAAGGCCUUAGGGUUGUAAAGCUCUUUCACCCACGACGAUAAUGACGGUAGUGGGAGAAGAAGCCCCGGCUAACUUCGUGCCAGCCGCCGCGGUAAAAC